GAUUCUUCCCAAUUCUACCGCCACCAUUCUGGUUCAAGCUACCUGGUCCAGCUUUGACUUUACCUGGUUUUUUAUAGAAUGCUACAACUCCCUCUAGAAGCUUCUCUUGAUAAGACAGAGUCUUGCUCUGUCACCCAGGCUGGAGUACAGUGGUGUGAUCUCGGCUCACUGCAACCUUUGCCUCCUGGAUUCAAGCGAUUCUCCUGCCUCAGUCUCACAAGUAGCUGGGACUACAAAACUCCUUUCCUUAGGCUGGAUUUGCCAUCUCCCACAAUGCCCAUAACUUGAAUUAUCACUUAGGUCUUUGGACCUAAUUUCUAAGAAAGGUAAAACAUGCACAGAGCAAAUUUCGGUUGUAUCCUAGAAAUGAUAGCCAUAUUCAGGAUACUGGUUACACCUGACGAAACAUCUCCAUGAAAGUUAAGCAUACACAGGAUCUCACUUUGUUACCCAGGCUAGAUAGAGUGCAAUGGUGUGACCACAGCUCACUGAAGCCUCAACCUCCUGAGCUCACUUUUAAGCAAUCCUCUCACUUCGGCCUCCUGAGUAGCUGGGCCUACAGGCAUGUACCAACACUCCCAGCAAGUUUUUCUUAUUUUUUGUGAAGACAGAGUCUUGCAGUAUUGCCCAAGCUGGACUUGAACUCCUGGCCUCAAGCAAUCCUCCCAUCUAGGCCUCCCAAAGUGCUAGGAUUACAGGCAUGAGCCACUGUGCCAAGCAACACUUGCAGUUUUUAAGUGAAAAUGAUCCUGUAAAUAUACAUAUGAAUAAAAUCUAGAAAGCUAUAUAAAUCAAAA
rnacentral:antisense_RNA from 1 species